UUCUCCUAAUUUCCAAAUGUCUAGAAUCUGAUUUUUUUCAUGAGAAAAAAAUUCGACACUUGCUUUCUUGCGGUGGUUCCGUUUGAGUCACUUGAGUCCAGUUAGUGAGGUCGCCAACGAGGUCGAGAAAAUUUCUGCUUGAAGACAUGCUAUUCUCAUUGUCUUUAGUCACUUCAUUCAUCAGCAGUAAGUAUUUUGAAAUGUCUAGAAGUUUUGUUUUACUACUUUAUUAGGAGUACAUGUUAUGGAAAUUUUUAUUUUUGAUAAGUUCCUUACUGUUGAUAUGAUGUUGCGAUUGCGAUUUGAUUAAAUUAGUGUUCAAACCAUGUUUUGCAACCCUUGGUUAGAAAAUUGGCAAUCUAUAAGGAGAUGAUAAUAAUAUUAAUUGGAUUAGUUAUGUUAUAAAUGGAUUUUUGAAAUAUUCACACUUAAAAAUAUGCAAAGGUGAAGAAAUAACAUUUUGCUUUAGAGGCCGAAAAGGGUGCCCAGAGGAGGACUAGAAAAUAGAUGUAGUUCUUGCUUGUAUUAAUAUAUAAAAGAAUGUUCAUAAGAUUUUAGGUGUUCUUCAGUACUAUUGGAUAAAUGGUGAAGUGGAGAUUCAGACAUUGUUGGGAAUGACAUUCUCUUGGAUCAACAGAUUAUGAUUGUUACUUGUUGGAUAUAACAGAUGUUGGUAAGGAAUUAUAUUUUUAGUUGGAGAUGCUAAAUUCUAGGGAUUAAUCAAUUUUAUUGAUUCAAUCGCACUACCUCUUUCCAAAUGCUUUCCUUUAACAAGUUAAAUUUCAUAAUCAAUGACCUCACAAUAAUCUUGAAAUAGUUUAGGAAAUAACUCAUGAACAUCCUAGCUUUCCUUAGGCGCGAUUAAUAAUAAAUCAUCGUGACUGUGGGUACGGUUCUCGUGGCAUGGUCAUGAUACCUAAUUUCCAAUUCGAGUGUGCAUUUCAUGUGACCCGACUAUAGCUUCGUAUAAUAACAAAAUAAACAUGUUUUAAAUCGCGACUACAUUUCAUGUGACGCGAUUCACAAUGUGUACAAAAGUAGACGAGCACGUGUCAUCACGACACGUUCAAAUAAAUUUCAUAAAUCCUAAAAGUGGUUAAAUAAUUAAUUAAAAGUGGUAAAAGGAAUAAAAUGCACAAUAGGUUCUAAACAUGUAAUAAAUCAGAUAAUUAGGCCAAUUAUUAAUAGUUGAGCGACCGCGCUAAAACCAAGGAACUCGGCAGUGCCUAACACCUUCUCCCGGGUUAACAGAAUUCCUUACCAGGUCUUCUAGUUUCGCGAACUUUUAAACAGAAGCAAAUUUCCUCGAUUUGGGAUUUAAAAUAAACCGGUGACUUGCGACACCAUAAUUAUUCCAAGUGUGACUCUAAAAUUAAAUAAAUAAUCCUAUUUCGAUUAUUGUCACUUUAAUUGGAAAAAUUUCACGACCCCGGUUCUCCCUCCGUGAACCAUCAUGACGGCACCUAGUCUCUACGACUAGGUAAGCCUAAACUUGCGGAAGAUAACCAAAACUUGCGGAAGUAAAAUAAUUUAAAAAUGGAAAUAAAGCAAUAACAGUGUUAAAUGUGACGCUCGGCAUACACCAUAUUUAUAUAGAUCACGAAACCAAUAUCUAAAUCCAAGACCCGGAAACCCACAAAUCACAAGCUAAGAAAAGGAAAUACUACAUAGCUCUAACUCCGGAAUUUGUCUAAUAAGAACAGAAAGUACAGAAGGGCUAAAUACUAAAAGCAGGAAUAGAAAGGGACUUCUUGGUUUGCGGACGCGACAGAUGUACCUCGAAGUCUAUAGAGCAGUCGCCUCCCUCAAGGAUAGUAGGCCUGAUCAGCGGUACCUGGAUCUGUACAUGAAAAACAUGCGCAGAAGGGGCAUGAGUACACCACGGCGGUACUCAAUAAGUGUCAAGCCUAACCUCGAUUGGGUAGCGACGAGGAAGGUCAAGGCCCUACUAAGGUUAAACAAAUAUAAAGGUCAACAGUAUAGGACAGAACAGUAUAAAUAAGUACGGAAACAAAAUGAUAUAGGAUAUACAGAACAACAACAAUUAUAUAGAACACGGUAAACAUGGAAAGGAAAUACAGCUCAGCACCAAUAGUAACAAUCUGGGAUCUCCCAAGAUACCGUCCUGUAGUCCCAUUUUUACAUAUCCAGUGAAUCUCCCGAGAUACCUUCUCGUAGUCCAUCAUAUAUAUAUCCGAAGGAUCUCCCAGGAUCUCGUCCCGUAGUCUAACUCAUAGUGCGUGGGGAUCUACCAAAAUCCCGUUCCGUAGUCCCAAAUACAAAUACCUAGUACUGGGGGAAUCUACCGGGAAUCUAACCCAUAGUCUCAAAGUAAAUGUUCAGGGAGAUUUACCGGGAAUCUAACUCGUAGUCCCAAAGUAAACAGACAAGGGGGAGCUACCGGAAUCCCACAUCCAUAGUCCCAAAAUAAAAACACAGCAGCAGCAGGAAGAUAAAUAGAAAUAGCAAAAUCAUAUUAAGGCAAUAAGUAAUCCUAGCCUAGCAUGCUGCACAGAAUUCAAGUAAGGCGGUUAAAUCAAAUGAAGCAAUUAAGUCACUUAGACAUGCUUUCCUAAGCUAACAACAGGCUUAAUAGUGCAAAUAAUAGAAACAGGAAAGGGAACAUACUACUAAGUACUUAAAACAAACCGGAUUUCCAACAAUUAGCACAAGUAUGCACUCGUCACCUCACGCACAAGGCAUUUCAAUUACCACAUAUACCAAUCCUAAGGGGAAGGUCCCCCACACAAGGUUAGACAAGCCACUUACCUCGAAUCGGCUCAAAAUCAACCCAACACCACGUCUUUGCCACAAGUACUCGACUCCAAAUGGCCCAAAUCUAUUCAAUUCAAUUGCAUAAUAUAAAUAGCACUUCAAAUAACUAAAUCUACAAUUAAAGUCUAAGCUAAAACGCGCAAUUAUGUCAAAACACCAAAAUUCCCCUCGGUCCCACAUCUCAGAAUCAGGUGAAAUUUACAUUUUCAGAAACCUCGUAAUCUCACGAGUCUAUACAUAACAAGAACACUGAAUCGGAGUCCAAAUGACCUCUCAAAUCCUCAUUUAAAAGCCUCUUAAACUCAAGCUCUAAUUAACCAUUUUUACCAACUUUCUCACCACUAAUUAGGUCUUUAAUCACAUAAAAAUGAGUUAUGAAGUCAAUGAUAUUACCUCCAAGUUAUUCCCCUCUGUUUUCCUCAAAAAUCUCUCUUAAAAGCUUCAAACCCGAAUGAAAAUGGUGAAAGAAUCCCUCAAAUUCGCGAAGACAACUAUUUAUAUGUUUUGCCCAGUAAGUUUUGCAUUUGCGACCCUUCGGAGACUUAGUCGCAUCUGCGACUUUCAUUAAAUGACCAAUUUCCGCACUUGCGGUCUCCAAUUCCCAGGUGUGAUUCCGCUUCUACAGAAAUAUCCCUCGCACCUGUGGAACCUGCUAACCUCCCUCAAUUUUGCUUAUGCGGCCUCUUAGCCGCUUCUGCAGUGUUGCAUCUGCGGUCCCCAAAACUCAGAUGCGAAAAUACCAGAAGCAGUAAAAAUACAGCAGCUGCAACAAUUUCUCAAACUUCCCGUCAACCAUCCGAAAUCAUCCCGAGGCCCUUGAGACCUCAACCAAAAGCACCAACAUCACCUAAUACCUCAUUCAAACUUGUACCAAUCCUUAAAACACCUAAAACAACAUCGAAACCUCGAAUUAAUCAAGGAUUUGAGCCUAAGAACUCCAAUUUUCCUCAAACCUCAUCCGAAUGACCUAAAAUUUUUCUCACACAACACAUUCAACAAUAUGGAGCUACUCCAACUUCCGAAAUUCCAUUCCGACCCUCGGAUCAAAAUCUCACUAUUGGACCGAAAACUUUGAAAAUUCGACUUUCGUCAUUUCAAGCCUAAAUUAGCUAUGGACCUCCAAAACACAUUCCGAUCACGUUCCUAACCCCGAAAUCACCCAACGGAGAUAACGGACCAUCGAAUUUCUAUUCCGAGGCCGUCUUCACACUGUUCCGACUAUGGUCAACUUCCUAACACUUAAGCUCUCUUUUAGGGACUAAGUGUCCCAAAACUCUCCGAAACUCAAAACUGAACAUCUCGGCAAAUCAAAAUAGCAGAAUAAACUUGGGGAAAGAAGUUAAUAGGUGAUCGGGGCGUUAAUUCUUAAGACAACCGGUCGGGUCGUCACAAAAAACUCCUUAUACCCCUCAGGUAAAAAGGAGAUGUGAUAGCUCUGGCGACUCUGCUGGGGAUAAGAACCCAGAACUUCUUGUUCAGGGUUUAGAAUUAGAGUUUAGAAUAAUUGUUAUAGUUGUCUUUUCUUUAUUAUGUGAUUUUUACGUGUUUGAGCUUGAUGUGCUAAAUGUCGCUUUUUACCGCUUUGAUAAUGUCUGAAUUGUAUAUAAAACUCUAACGAAAACCUCCUUCUCUCCGAGUCUUCUAAAUCUUCUGGGGAGCGUGCGCUUCACGUGACUUCUUUUCUGUUAGAGUCAUAUCCUAAUUUUAGAAUGAGGUUCGGACAAGUUGCAAAGCCAGUGAAGCUUCUGCAUUUCCGGUACGAUGCCCCCGCUCGGCUCGAGUUAUCCGCUCGAGUAAGUCAGGUCUAGAACAAUACACCCCAGGAUUCGAACCUAGAAUAACAUAGUCUCAUGUCGGAUCCCUAGUAGGAACGUUUAUUUGCAUCAUAUGCAUUGGGUCCAUAUAGGAUAGGUGUACUCAAAUUAAAAGACCAUCCCGAUGCAUCUUACGUGCUACAUGUGUAUCUGUUUGUUUCAGUUUGCAUGACUGACUGGCUUUAAGAAUAGGGAAAGAAAAUUAAAAAAAAGGAAAAAAAGAGAGUGAGCGGUAGGUAUUUGAAAUAUCUUGAAACUCUGCCGAAAUUUUGAAAAAAAAGGAAAGUCAUUUCAAAAUAAGUCACAUUUUCCUGUUGCGUCAAAACUGAUAGAACCACACAGGUCUGAUUCUCACCGGAUGUGAGAUACGUUGGCAAACUUCAUCGGUUCCGGCCCACAAUUUUUCAAAAAAAUCCAAAUAAUAUUUUCGUUUACUUCCUUCUUUAGAAAGUCUUUCCUUUAGACCACAAUAUUUCAAAAAUUCAAAAAUAUUUUCGUUUACUUCCUUCUUUAGAAAGUCUUUCUUUUAGACCCCAAUUUUCAAAAAAAUCCAAAAAUAUUUUCGUUUACUUCCUUCUUUAGAAAGUCUUUCCUUUAGACCACAAUAUUUCAAAAAUUCAAAAAUAUUUUCAUUUACUUCCUUCUUUAGAAAAAUCUUUCUUUAAUACCCCAAUUCCAAAAAAACAAAAAAAAAUCCAAAAAAAUAUUUCUUUUAAUUUCUUCUAAAACCAAAAAUAUUUUCAUUCUUCUUUAGAAAUUUUUCUUUCAAAAAUUGAAAAGAAAAUUCAAGAUUCAAAAAUAUUUUCUUUAGAAGUCUUUCUUUCACAAUUUUAACAUAAAAGUCCAAAAAUGCAAAGAUAUUUUCUUUCUUCUUUAGAAGUUUUUCUUUCGAAAUUUGAAAAAAAAAAUUGAAAUCAAAAAAUAUUUUCUUUCUUCUUUAUAAGUCAUUAUUUCGAAAAUUUAAAAAAAAAAUCAAAAUAAAAAAAGAUUUAGUUUGUUUCUUUUAUUCCUAAUCUUCCUGAACUACGGAAAGAUCUGAUUCAUGCGGCGUCAUGAUAUAUAGGCAACCCACAUCAUGUUCGAUCGAAUGGUUAAAAACAAAAAAAAAAAACAAAAACAGAAGAAGAAAGAAAAACAAAAACAAAAAGAGAAAGGAAAAAAAAGGAAAAAGAAAGAGAGUGUUUAUUCUAUAUUUGUUGGUCGGUUUGUUGGUUUGCAAUGGCGAGUCACAAAAAUAAUCCAAGAUCUCUCGAAAAUAAAAACUUCUUCUCAACCAAUGGAACAAUCAUCAUUGUUCUUGAUCCAAGGUCACGAAAGGGCAAGUAGGCAAGUUGGCGGCGAAAAAUUAAAAAUUGAGGCAAAUGUGGGUUUGACUUUAUCAGAUUUGAAUAUUAAGACAUGGGUUGCUCGGGAUGAUUGUCAAACUUUGAGUGUUAAAUCUAAAGCAAUCAAAAUGGUCAAAUGUCAUAGUAAUGUUGAUGUGCGAAUGUGUGGCUAAGAUAUCGCUUAGUAGCUGGAAAGUCACUCCUCUUUCAGCCAUGGUAGCUUAUUUUUGUCUUCUUUUUUUCUUAUUUUUGUGCUAUCGGACUCUUCUAUCCUUUAUUCAAUAAAAAAGGCAGUCAGUCACUGUGUGUCCAUUUUGUGCAUAGGUAUUUUCACGCUAGUUCUUGUGACAUGGCAUGCAUGCAGAAUUUUUGGCCAGAUCUUAGAAAACUGAUUUAGUCUUGAAUUGGACAAGUGAGAAAGAGACACUUUUGAAGAUGAAUAAAGACAUGAAACAUUGGAAAAUAAGCAUGGACCAACCAAGACUCAAGAUCAAGCUUCAGAAGACUCAUACAUAGGAAUCUUGUAACUCGUAGCUGAUAGGCUUAAUUAGUCUUUUAAUUUUAAUUUUGAUGUAAUAACAGGACCACGGAUCGGAGCCUCGAUGGAACCUCACUCGACUCCCGAACCCAUCACUUCAUUCUGUAAUCAUCCAAGAGGUCAUCACUUGUUUUAAAAUGAAAUUCUGCGCUCCGAGGCUUUAAAACUUCUUUUAGCAUAACCUUGAUUUGCAUGCGCAGUUCGGGCGCGUAGGCGGAAAGCUUAUAUGUGAAAAUCUGUGAAUAAUGAUAAAUUUUGACUAUAAAAUGAAUUAAUUUGAUUUCGGUCAACAUUUUGGGUAAACGGACCCAGACCCGUGAUUUGAUGAUCUCGGAGGGUUCGUAGGAAAAUAUGGGACUUGGGCAUAUGCCAGGACGUCCCAAGCCCGAGAAAUGAAUUUUUAAAGAAAAUUAUUUUCUAAAAUUGUUUAAAGGAUUUGGAAAUGAAUUUUGAUUAGAACAUGUUGGUAUCAGGACCGUAUUUUGGUUCCGGCGCCUGGUAUAGGUCUUAUAUGUGAUUAAAGAUGAUUCUGUGAAGUUUGGUAAGAAAUAUAAUCCGUUUGACGUGAUUCGGACCUUAAUUGCAAAAAAAUUUGCUGUUUGAAGAAGUUUUGAAAAAUUUCAUUGAUAUUGAGGUUUAAUUCGAUAUUCAUGAUGUUAUUUUGCUGAUUGGAUUACACAAAUAAGUCAGUGGGAUGUUUUUGAGGUUGUGUAUAUAUUUGGUUUGGAGCCUCGAGGGCUCGGGCAAGUUUUGGAUAGGCCACGAGAUGCAUUUUGGACUUAGAGAAACUGCAGGUUUUCAGCUAAUGUGCACAGGUCUGCAGUCUUUGCAAAUGCGAAGCCUGGCUCGCAAAUGCGAGAUCUCCAUCGCAAAUGCAAAAAUGGGACCUGGGCAGGCCUGAUCGCAAAUGCAACCACUUGGCUCGCAAAUGCGAAAGGUCAGUCGCAAAUGCGACAUUUUUGAUCGCAAAUGCGAAACUCCCCUAUUCAGCCUUGGGUCGCAAAUGCGACCUUAUCUUCACAAUUCCCAGCUCGCAAAUGCGAGCCUCCCUUCGCAUUUUCCAACAUAGCAGAGGUCGGGGUUCGCAAUUCCCAUACCUGAGACUUGCAACUUUUAUACUUAGACGAUUUUAAACCCAUUUUUCAUAUCCUCUCAAAACAUAAACACACAGGAGCGAUUUUUCAAAGGCUUCUUCUUUUCCAAGUCAAUUGUAAGUCAUUUUUAACUAGUUUUUUUCAAUUAUUAACAUCUUUUAACAUGAUUUCAACUUAAAAUCAAUGAUUUUCAUGAGGGAAAAUUGGGUGUUUUGGGUAGAACCUAGGUUUUUCAAAAAAAAAAAAGGAUUUGGACCUCAAUUUGAGGUUUCAUUUUAAAACAAAUUAUAUAUUUGGGUUCGUGGGGAAUAGGUAAUCGGGUUUUGGUUUGAACCUCGGGUUUUGACCGUGUGGGCCCGGGGACAAUUUUUGACUUUUUGGGCAAAACUUUGGGAAAUUCAUUUUCAUGCAUUCAAAUUGAUUCAUUUAGCUUUUAUUGAUUUAAUUAAGUAACUUGUGACUAGAUACGAGCAAAUUGGCGGUAGAAGUAAGGGGUAAAGCCGUAAUUGAAACUUGAGUUGUGCUCGUGGCAUCGAGGUAAGUGUUUGGUCUAACCUUAGCUUGAGAGAUUAGGAGUUGUAUCCUAUUUUCUAUUUGCUUAUUGUUGAGUACGACGUAUAGGCAUGGUGACGAGUAUCUAUACGUUGGUGUCGUGCAUGACUGUGAGUCUUAAAUUGCAAUUUAUUAUGUUCUUAAAUGAUACUACGGAUGCUUUAAUUGAUGAUACUCGGUAUUGAGCAAGGAUUAAGAUUGUUUUCAUAGAUAUUACUUAUGAUUGAGUAUUAGUGUUAGGUGAGAUGGUUAGAUAUUGGGUUAAGAUUGGUUAUAGCUGUUUCUCCCUUGCCGGGACGUAUUUACUUUACUGUCGAUUCCUUUGCCGGGAUAGUGUAGAUCUUUGUUGAUCUCUUGUCGGGACUCUUAUUGUGGUUGUUGUUAAAUGUUAUAUGUGGAUUGGGUUGCACGCCGCAACAAUGUUAUAUGUGGAUUAGGUUGCACGUGCAACAAUGUUAUUUGUGGAUCGAGUUGCACGCCAUAACAAUGUUAUAUUGGAUCGGGUUGCACGCCGCAAUAGUGAUAUAAAUGGAUCGAGUUGCAUGCCGCAACAGUGUUAAAUGAUAGGGAUCGGUUUGCACAUUGCAACAGUGUUAUUAUUGUUUUGUUGUUGUAGAUUUUGAAGUGUUCUCUCAUAUGUCUCUUGAGUUUCUGCUGGAUUUGAUAUUUCCUCGGUAGAAUAUACCCCCUCUCAUGUUAAUUGUUUAUUCCUAUUUAUUUUUCGUUGUUUAUUAUAUAACUGCACAGGUUUAUCUAGAGUCUGGUCCUAGCCUCGUCACUACCUCACCGGGGUUAGGCCAGGCACUUACCAGCACAUGGAGUCGGUUGUGCUGAAGUUACACUCUGCACUAUAUGCAGAUUCCGAAGCAGCCUUUGGACAGUUGCACUUGGG
rnacentral:lncRNA from 1 species